ACAUUUCCUACUAAAACAUCAAGUUUCCAAAAUAGUAUAUACUUUAAAUAGCCUUGGAAUGUUAUAUUAUAUUAGAAGUAUUGAUCUCUAGUAUGAUGGUAACUUUGGCAAGAUCAAUUAUGGGGUGCAUUUUCUUGAUGUUGCUUCUAAGUGCAGGAAGUGAGACACGACCUUUGAAUCCAACAAUGGUAAGCAACAUGUUAAGAAGAUCGAUUGGAACACCUAUACGACCAAUUACAGAAGCAAGUGAAGUUUAUGGCAAUAAGAGAUUAAGUCCAGGAGGACCUGAUGCUCAUCAUCAUUAAUUACAAGUCUCAAAAGCUUUAGGUAUAUAACUGUUCCUAUAUGUUAUUUGUCUUUUUUUGAAGGUUGAGGCA
rnacentral:lncRNA from 1 species